GAUUCAGUAGUGUAGGGGUAUCAUGGGCGCUUGCCAAUCAGCUUCCAGACUGACCGCAUUCUGCGCCCGACCCGGGUUCAAAUCCCGGCUGAAUCA